rnacentral:tRNA from 1 species
GCCCGCAUAGUUCAAUGGAUAGAAUAAAUCCCUCCUAAGGAUUAGAUAUAGGUUCGAUUCCUAUUGCGGGUGCCA